rnacentral:rRNA from 1 species
GACGAACGCUGGCGGCGUGCCUAACACAUGCAAGUCGAGUGGGAACCUCAGGAGGGGUAACCCUCCUGAGGGGAGAGCGGCGAACGGGUGAGUAACACGUGGGCAACCUGCCCCGGACACCGGGAUAACCCAGGGAAACCUGAGCUAAUACCAGAUACUCCGGCGAGAUCGCAUGGUCGCGCCGGGAAAGCUCCGACGGUCCGGGAUGGGCCCGCGGCCUAUCAGCUGGGGGGUGGGGGGACGGCCCACGAAGGCGACGACGGGUAGCUGGUCGGAGAGGACGGCCAGCCACACUGGGACUGAGACACGGCCCAGACUCCUACGGGAGGCAGCAGUGGGGGAUCUUGCGCUAAUGCGCGAAAGCGUGACGCAGCGACGCCGCGUGGGGGAUGAAGGCCCUCGGGUUGUAAACCCCUUUCAGCAGGGACGAAGCGAAAGUGACGGUACCUGCAGAAGAAGUCCCGGCUAACUACGUGCCAGCCGCCGCCGUAACAC